rnacentral:rRNA from 1 species
GAUGAACGCUGGCGGCGUGCUUAACACAUGCAAGUCGAACGGAAUGAAUUAGUGGAAGUCUUCGGACUGAAGCUAAUUCAUUUAGUGGCGGACGGGUGAGUAACGCGUGGGUAACCUGCCUUACACAGGGGGAUAACAGUCGGAAACGACUGCUAAUACCGCAUAAGCGCACGGUGCUGCAUGGCACAGUGUGAAAAGAUUUUAUCGGUGUAAGAUGGACCCGCGUCUGAUUAGCUAGUUGGUAGGGUAAUGGCCUACCAAGGCAACGAUCAGUAGCCGGCUUGAGAGAGUGAACGGCCACAUUGGGGACUGAGACACGGCCCAAACUCCUACGGGAGGCUG